rnacentral:rRNA from 1 species
UACGGGGGGGGCAAGCGUUGUUCGGAAUUACUGGGCGUAAAGGGCUCGUAGGCGGCCAACUAAGUCAGACGUGAAAUCCCCGGGCUCAACCCGGGAACUGCGUCCGAUACUGGCAGGCUUGAAUCCGGGAGAGGGAUGUGGAAUUCCAGGUGUAGCGGUGAAAUGCGUAGAUAUCUGGAGGAACACCGGUGGCGAAGGCGGCAUCCUGGACCGGUAUUGACGCUGAUGCGCGAAAGCCAGGGGAGCAAACGGG